UUCAAGCUGCAUGCAGGAAGCACUCCAGCAGGGACUCUGGCCUUGCAGGAGUCACUAUUUUCCCCUUAUCUUCCUUUUCACCGAGCAAAACCUGCUUUAUUCGUUCUUCAAACCAUUUGUGAGUCUAAAUUGUCAUGGCCAUGGGACGGACAAGGACUCUGUCUUUAACCCUGUCUUUAGCUGAACCAAGGAAAAUGCCUGCAACAUUUUUGGCACCCAAAUGGCGCUCAAGAAGUGAGAUGGAGUCUCACUCUGUUGCCCAAAGUUGUCUCAAACUCUUGGAUUCAAGUCAUGCUCCUGUGUUGGCUUCCCAGAGUGUUGGGAUUAGAGGUGUGAGCCACUGUACCCAGCUCGUCUAACAACACCUAUGAUAUACACCAGGGCUUGACCAACUCCUUCUGUAAAGGUCCAGAUAGUAAGUAUUUUGGGCUUUGAGUAUCAUAUAGUGUCCAUGUCAUGUUGCAGUGUGAGAGCAGCCGUAGACAGUGCAUGAACAAAUGAGUGCAAUUUUAUUUUGUUAUAUUUACUUAUGCAAUUAAAUUUUUAUAUAAUUUUUACACAUUACAAAAUAUUCUUUUAAUUUUUCGACUGUUUAAAAUUGUAGAAACUAAUUUUAGCUCACUGGCUGUAUGAAAUCCGGUGGCAAGCCAUAUUUGACCUCUAAGCAGUAGUUGGCAGAGUCCUGUAUAUAUUCAUGUAACUGUAUGCAUGUUAAAAUACUUAGGAACUUGUGAAUUCUGCAGAAAAAAUAUUUUUUAUUCAAUUGGAAAUGUCAAGAACACAUCUGUUACAGAAUUAUCUAAGCCAACUUGGCAGUGCACAAUGAAUAGAUUUUUAUUGGUAGAAGGAAGAGCUAUUAUUAUUUGGAUGUACAUGAGGGCUAUAAGUCUCUCUCAAUUCCACCUUCAUAUCCAGUAGGUGAGAUAUAGGGCAAGCAAGUCUGACACCAGAUUCUAUGUGUGUGUAAACAUUAGCAACUGGCACAAACAGAGUUAUAGCACCUUUUCUUGAAGUCUCACUCUUAGGCACUCCCAAUACCUUGCAUAAAAUGUACACUAGAGGAAGAUAACUUUCUGCAGUCAGGAUUCAGAUAACCUAGAAACUGGGUGACAGAAUUCUCUGUUAAUGGUAAAACCCAGGACAUAGGAAGGUCCUAGGCUAAGAAUUCCAUUCAAAGGGAGUAAGCUGCCGGGGGACCAGAUUUAUACAAAUGUAAUUGCCAAGGUACUCAUCUGAUCUUUCUAGCAAUGUCUGUCUUGAAGCUUUAUAAAGUGGAAAAGAGACAGCUGAUGAAAAUAACAAGCAAAACAAUUAUUGCCAAAUUCCCCAAAUCACAGUAAAACUGACGCUGUGAUGAAAUUGUGGGUGAUUAUUUUUCCCUUUCUGUAAUGUUUUUCCCCCUAUACUAUAAUAUUCAUUAGAAUGUUACCAGACUGUGAUCCUUCUUAGUUCUUCUUUCUCUACAGCCACAUCUUUAUAAUUUUCUUUACAUUUAAAAAUCAUGGAAUAUGUAAAAUAUAUCCAGGAAUAGAAUGGAACUCAUGGCCAAUCUUGUUUCAGCUAUAUCUCUACUUGCUUUCUCCAACCCCAAAUUAUUUUCAAGGAAUCCUAUAUGUUUUAUCUACAAAUAAUGUAAUUUGUAUUUCUAGGCGAUAUGGACUUAUUUUAAAAAACUAGA